ensembl:lncRNA
GUCAAGCAAAAACACACAGAACCACACACAUCUCAAACGCACACACUUCUUCAAGAGGAGGAUACAGCAUAAGACUGUAUCACACAGAGACUCUUCACCUUCUUCUGAAGCAGACCUUCCACGGAGGCGAAGCUCUGGACGAACCAUCAGCGCUGAUUAGGGACUUAGACAUAUUCGAUUUCUCACGCUUUAUGACUCUGUAUAACCGUUGCCACUUUACUUAAUAAAUCCAAGGUCCUCGUGCUUUAUUACCUCUCCGUCUCAUUUUAUCUGGUCCAGUAACUAGACAGACCGUUUUUCCCCUCAAUUUGGUGACCCCGGUGUGAUUUUUUCUGAAUUGGACCGCAACUGGGAAACGAGAGACGGAGAGCGGCACGGCCUCUGGACCCCGGAGCACCGGACCGAUUCCUGCAGUCUCACCUCGCGUACGCCCAACAAAAGUCUCUGUCCAUAGGUUUCACCUGAACAACCCCUCUGCUGGCCGAGAAAAGGAACUACCACUGGUUUCUCCCACACCCAGCCCCCGGGGCACGCUCGCUUCAAGGCGUUAUGGCCGCACCCAAAAUGGGAGGGAGACACGCAGAGAGAGAGAGAAGCCACAUUCCACCCUUGUCUUGCACCAAACAGCACCCCGUACUGAGGAGGGAGAGAGAGCGUGUUCUCCUGAAGGCGGGAGAGAGUCACAGGGAGACACGCAGUGGAUAUUCACAUUAUGGCUAAUUUGUUUUUCUUUAAGUUUAGUUUUUAUUUUGUUUUUUGUCUUCCUAGGACAACAGUAAUGAUAAUCUAAUGCAAUUGGACUAAAGAAGGUGUUGCUAUUAACUAAGUGAUUAUUAUUAUUUUCACACAGGAAAGAAUAAUUGAAUAAAUAUGGGAUGAUAAAGAUGAGGAUAAUAAUUAAAAAUAUAUACAUAAAGUAAAAACGUAAUCUUGAUAAACUGUACAAGUAGGACUACACCAAUUAAAAUAUAGGGUAAAUCUCUUUGGUCAAGGAUGACGGGGAUUGGCGCUACAUCUGCUGGGAAGGGAUCCCA